CCUACGGGUGGCAGCAGUGAGGAAUAUUGGUCAAUGGCCGAGAGGCUGAACCAGCCAAGUCGCGUGAGGGAAGACGGCCCUACGGGUUGUAAACCUCUUUUGUCGGGGAGCAAAGCGAGUCACGUGUGACUCAUUGAGAGUACCCGAAGAAAAAGCAUCGGCUAACGCCGUGACAGCAGCCGCGGUAAUCCGGAGGAUGCGAGCGUUAUCCGGAUUGUUUGGGUUUAAAGGGUUCGUGGGGGGUUGGUUAAGUUUUAGGUGAAAUCCCGAGGCACAACUUCGGUAUUGCCUCUGAUACUGUUCGGCUAGAGAGUAGUUGCGGUAGGCGGAAUGUAUGGUGUAGCGGUGAAAUGCUUAGAGAUCAUACAGAACACCGAUUGCGAAGGCAGCUUACCAGGCUACUUCUGACGUUGAGGCACGAAAGCGUGGGGAGCAAACAGGAUUAGAUACCCCAGUAGUC
rnacentral:rRNA from 1 species